rnacentral:rRNA from 1 species
AUGAUGCAACAAAUCUGGUCCAUUGAUCAAGCACAAGCUCUAGCCUUAAAGGCCGAGAGGUUUGUGAGGAUGAGAAAGACAACUAAGGCUCCAUAUCCUCCAUAUCCUCAUACCGAAGGCUCAUCUAGGAGCCAACCUAAUAGAGUGGAAGAAAAGACCACUCCACCAAAGACAAAACAGCCUAUCCCGAAGCAAACUAGAGGCAAGGGUAAGGCAAAUGAAGGCCCAAAGUGCUAUAAAUGUGGUAAAGAGGGACACAUAUCCAGCGGUUGCCCACUAAGGAAAUUUGUUAACACGACUAUCCAUGAUGGUGAAAGCGAUGAGGAAGAAUACGAAUCUAAAGAUGUAGACGGACAAGAGGUUUGUCAAGAAGAAGGUGAAGAGGUGGUAUGUGUGAUCCAGCGUGUCCUAUGUUCCACACCACAACUGGAUGACACACAACGGAAGAAAAUAUUUGAGAGCAAAUGCACGGUGAAUGGCAAGGUAUGCAAACUAGUGAUUGAUAGUUGCAGCUGCGAGAAUCUUAUCUCCCAGAAGUUGGUGGACCAUUUAAAGCUUGAAACCCAUGAUCAUCCAAAUCCCUACACUAUUGGAUGGAUCAAGAAAGGAGUGAAUAUGAGGAUCACCAAACAAUGCAACCUGCCACUUUCUUUGGGUAAGCAUUAUCGCUCAAAUGUGUUGUGUGAUGUGGUUGACAUGGAUGCCAGCCAUGUUCUUCUUGGGAGGCCUUGGCAAUUUGAUGUGGAUACUACACACAAGGGCAAGGAAAAUUCUUACUCUUUCAUUUGGAACAAGAGAAGGAUCAUUAUCUUACCAAACAAAACCGAAGGUAAUACCUCUAAGGAGGAGGGGAAAACUAUGUUAACUAUCUCCCAUACCUCUCAUGAGUUUAUGGAAGACUUGAAGGAGGCAGAUUUGUGUGCUGCACUUGUUGUAAAGGGAGAAGAGCACCUGACUAUUGAAAUUCCAGCAAAGGUACAUGGUUUAUUGGCAGAAUUUUAG